GACAGACAGAUGGUUAGUUCACUGAACAGCAGCCGUGUUUUACACGCAGAGCCUAAAGACUUCACCUGAACCGUUCUGACCUGAACGAUUCUGACCUGAACAGUUCUGAGCGGCCUGGUCCUGUGGUCCAUUAGAACCUGCAGCCACACAGGGCCAACUGGCUCCAAUCUGUUUAGUUAGAAAUCCUUCAGUCUGUAAGCCAGUAAAGAGGCUCUAAUGUGUCACAUCAGCCAGAUUAUUAUAUUCUGACGCUCAUUAAGCAUUCAGGCCAGUUAUAUUUUAACUCUUCUGGUUUGUCAAAGACAGAAAGAAACAAGAAAACCAAAACAAAGAAAGAGACUAAAGUGACUAAAUCAAAAGAAUAAACUGAAAUUUAACAAGUUAAACAUUCAAGACACUGACAAAAUACUAAAUUUACAAUAAUUUCUGGGUAGACUUGUAGUUGAAAAGCUUAGUUAUGAAUGUUUGGCGCCAUGUUCAAGCAGCCAACAUGUUGACUGAAAAACAGACAGGAAGACAAAUAAAUUUAAUACACCAGCGACAAAAUAAAGCAGGACCAGGAAAAUAUUUCCAAAACAUCAACAACCUUCUGCUGCUUUGUUUUAGUUCAACAGUUAUAAAGCCCUAAGCAGCAACAGUGGGGUCAAAGGUCAAACUGGUUACCUCCAUGGUUCCUUUACUGAGUGUCACUGAACCAGGAUUACAGUUAAACCAACCAAACCAACACAACCCAACUAAACCCAAAUCAACCAAACCAACACAACACAACCAAACUCAAACCAACCCAACUGAGACAUGCUAAGUAACUUUAGCUUAAAGAGAAAUGGAAGCAAACAAUAAAAAUAUUUUCUAACUACGUUCCUCAACACAACAAAGGAUCUGAAUCAAACUGUAUUCAUUAGUAGAUUCUGAUUGCAUCAGAAAUUAUUACGUGCUCAUAAUUAAAUCUAAUUAACUUCCAAUAAAGAAGCAGAAUGAAGCAACCCUGUGGCUAACCAGCGUCCCACACACAAAUUCCUGACUUUGGCUUCUCACGCUACAGAUCAAUAAUUUUGCAAUAAAAUUCUUGAUCUCUUUGGGUUUGACACCAAAGAGGAAAAAAAACAUUUUGUCCCACUGUGACUUAGAGAAUCAUAUAUGUAAUGAAAUAGUGAAGAAACAGAUAACUAAAGUGAUUAAAAGAGUUCAGUCUGAGGACAAGACGCUGCUGAGGGGAAAUAACGCUCAGAGAACCAUUAAUGCACAUUUUACCCCAAAUUAAUAAUACAUCAAAUUUAUUUAAUGCUUUUUAGGACACCAAAGAGAAAAAGUCCCAUUUUUAUCAGAUUUAAAAGUUUUAUAUAUAUAACCAGAGAGUUUUUCACAGGACAGAAAUGACAGACAUCACACAGAAGAUGAAGAGAUAAUAAACUGCAAAGUUUAUUACUUCUGGGUUUCUUUACAUCAAAAAUAAUUUAAUAAUUUAACCCAAACUGAAAGAUUUUUUGACACGUUAAAGUGUAAAGUAAAGCAGAAUAUGCUGCUCCUACAGCAUUUUGUGAAAUGACUUCAUUUUAUUCAACACGAUGCAAACGCUCUGUCUGCACAGAUGAAGAGUCACUCCCCUCAGAAUAACAGCUGCUUGAAACAUUCCUCCCAAAUAAUCAAGCUGAUAAUCAUCUGACUAAUUGGAGGCAUAGAUCCCAAAACAUAGAUCCUAACACAGACUGUAACAUCUGGACAGAGGAACUUCACAUCCCUGAUCCAAUAAAUGCUCACUAUUCUAACCACAGCGAACAGAAACAGACUGAGAGCUGACAAGAUGUUCUACAAAAUCUAAUUUCCUGGUUUAGACCCGAGUAGCACAUUGACUGCAUAUGUAUUGAUAUUAUUAGCAAUGCAAGCUAAUGCUAUUAGAGAGAAAAAUGUUGUAAUGAACAUUAGCUUGCAAGCUAAUGCUACUAGCUUGCAUUGUGGUCACAAACUGCAACGAUUAGCAUUGCCUGGGAUUUUCCAACCUGUAACCAGAAAGAGCUGAACUCUGGCGUGACAACAUUCCCAGAUCUGACUAAAACAAAACCAGACAUUCCUCAACCAACCAAUGAGGUGGCUGGAUUCAGCAAAGGAAAAGAGAUGAAGCUGAGCACCCAGAGGGGAGCUGAAGGGGGAAGAUGGAGGAUUUCAUGCUGCGUUCUUCAUCCCAUCCUGACCCAAGACGCUUCACCAUGUUUGUUUACUCUGAACUUUGCUUUGUGUUGCUGAGGAAACCUUGGUCUGUCAGAAAAGCACAAAGCCCCAUCCUAACUCAGCUGAUCUCCUGAUGAAGAUCCUGAGGUUCAAAGCGGAGACGCACACGCGGCCUCCAGCUUAGCCAGACCUCGCUAAUCAUGCUGCAUGCUAGCAGCAGGCUGACAGAGAUAAAGCUUCACAGGAAAAUUCCUCAACCUGAUGAGCAACAGAGCCGCUUUCACUUAUCACCUGAUUCCAGCUCUGGGAAUACCAAGAGCUUUAAAACAUCGUAAACAAGCUCCCCGAAGAACAAAAAGGUUUUUCAGAACAUUCUUCAGGAAAUGCUGCUGCUAGUAGCUGCUAGCUUCAGGAACCAGUCAUGAUGUGUUCAGCCAAAACAAUGUGAUUUUUUUUAUCUUUGUAUUUAGCAAACAGCUGCAAAGAGUCUGUUGAUUUGGAGAAGAGGAAGUGAGCCACGUCUCACGUGACGUUUCUUCUUCUUUGCAUCUGAUUUGUUUAUCUUUAUCCGGCUUUCAAACUUUUUCCAACCGAUUUCUCUUCUGCCUCUCAAAGCUGAAGCAGUCAGCUGGUUUUUCAGAACCUGAAGCAUUUUGUCUGACUGAAAGCUGCAGCUUCAUAAACUCUGAUUUUCCUGAAACAUCUGCCUCAUCAGGCUUUGAGCCGGGCGUGACAUAAGGCCACACCCUGCAUCAAGCUGCGUUCAGGUGAACUGCCUCAUCAUCUGUGCAUGUCAGGACCGAACCGGGUCUGAAACCGCUGCGGGAUCCGCAGAGACGCUGCAGAUUGAGCCGCUACGUAAGAGAUUACGGCGUUAUAAUCCCCCACAGCAGGCUUCCGCCAGGCAAAGAGAGAAACCUGAACAACCAAUCAGAACUGAAACAAAGACAGCCACAGCAAGCUUUCAUUAAAUUCAGGAGUUUCUCCAGAUCUGAUAGGAAUGUCAAAUAUUCAAAAGACUAACUUUUCCACUGGUCAUUGAAUGCAUCUGAAUUAAAAUCAUACUCUUUUGCCCAUGAACACAUCACCAAACUGCACAGUUGGUUAGGAUUUUGGUCAGCUCUGAUAAAGGCAUGAUUUCAUGCAUAAAUGGGGGUAAUUAUGUAACCCUUUCAUUUCCUGUUCAGCAACAAACAUUUAAUAUCUUUACUUUCACUUUGUUAAAAACAAAAACCAAAGUUACAUCAAACAGAAAGAGCUGGAGGCAGAGCAGAUACCAGUCCAGGUCAGGGGAAUCGCUGGGAGUCCAUUUAGGAUUAAUCACUUUGUUUUCUUCCUGCCAAACAAACUAAACCUGCAUUAACUAACAGAAGCAAAGUGGAGAACAAUUUAUUAAAGGUUCUCAAUCCAAACAACAGAGAUGGAAACCGUUUCUGAUGGUUUUUACAAUCCAACUUAAGAGGAAAGCAGAUCAGGCUUUUUCUGUUUGUUGCUGCUGUUCUAUGGAACAAUUUACCUUUCAAAUUAGAUCUGCCCCACAGCCUGGAUCAUUUUAAAUCGCUUCUCAAAACUCAUAUUUAUUCUUUGUCAUUUAUUUGAAGUAGUGUUUUGAUACUCUGUUUUUAUCAAUUUGUGUUAUUGUCGUUCACGAGAACAGCACUUUGGCUCAGUUUUACACCUGUUUUUAAAGCGCUACAUAAAUAAAUUUGACAUUGAUAUUUA